rnacentral:rRNA from 1 species
CAAUAGCGUAUAUUAAAGCUGUUGCGGUUAAAAAGCUCGUAGUUGGAUUUCUGUCAAGGACAACUGGUCCGCCCUCCGGGUGAGCACAUAGUUUGGUCUUGGCAUCUUGUUCAAAACUGUUACUGCGCUUGGUUGUGUGGUGCAGUUUUGGGCACUUUCACUUUGAGGAAAUUGGAGUGUUUCAAGCAGGCACAUGCCUUUGGACACAGUAGCAUGGAAUAAUUAGAUUGGGCUUUUGCUCCAACUUGUCGGUUCCUGGAGCUGAGGUGAGAAUCAAUGGGGAUUGUUGGGGGCACCUGAAUUUAGCCGUCAGAGGUGAAAUUCUUGGAUCUGCUAAAGACGGACAACUGCGAAAGCGUUUGCCCAGGAUGUUUUCAUUGA